rnacentral:rRNA from 1 species
AGUGAACGCUGGCGGUAGGCCUAACACAUGCAAGUCGAACGGCAGCACAGUAAAAGCUUGCUCUUACGGGUGGCGAGUGGCGGACGGGUGAGGAAUACAUCGGAAUCUACUUUUUCGUGGGGGGUAACGUAGGGAAACUUACGCUAAUACCGCAUACGACCUACGGGUGAAAGCAGGGGAUCUUCGGACCUUGCGCGAUUGAGUGAGCCGAUGUCGGAUUAGCUAGUUGGUGGGGUAAAGGCCCACCAAGGCGACGAUCCGUAGCUGGUCUGAGAGGAUGAUCAGCCACACUGGAACUGAGACACGGUCCAGACUCCUACGGGAGGCAGCAGUGGGGAAUAUUGGACAAUGGGCGCAAGCCUGAUCCAGCCAUACCGCGUGGGUGAAGAAGGCCUUCGGGUUGUAAAGCCCUUUUGUUGGGAAAGAAAAGCAGCAGGUUAAUACCCCGCUGUUCUGACGGUACCCAAAGAAUAAGCACCGGCUAACUUCGUG